AUAGGAAAAGCCUCAGAUAGAGGUCCGUUUCCAUUGUAUGGCAGAGAUACGGGAUUGCCAGGCUGUCAAACUAGCCUGCUCCGGUCAGAUAUGGGACUUGGAAGUCCAGGUCAGCUGUCAUCCUCGGGGAAACCUGGAACAACCUACUACCCAUUUUCUGGCACAAAUCAGCGCCGAAGACCACUUCAUGACUCGCCAGCUCUUGAUCCCCUACAGACAAAGAAAGUAAGAAAGGUGCCCCCUGGUUUGCCUUCUUCCGUAAGUACCAAUUCUUUUACUUAGAUUAAGUAGAGUGGGC